rnacentral:rRNA from 1 species
GGCAGAGGCCUCAAGCGUUAGGCGGAAUCACUGGGCUUAAAGCGUGUGUAGGCGGAUCGUUAAGUGCCUUGUGAAAUCCCACGGCUUAACUGUGGAACGGCUGGGCAUACUGGCGGUCUUGAGCCAUCUAGGGGCGACUGGAACAAACGGUGGAGCGGUGAAAUGCGUAGAUAUCAGGAGGAACACCGGUGGCGAAGGCGGCUUUCUGGACAGAAACUGACGCUGAUGCGCGAAAGCUAGGGGAGCAAACAGG